UUAGUCUGUAUCUACAAAAACAACAAGGAGUCUGGUGGCACCUUAAAGACUAACAGAUUUAUUUGGGCAUAAGCUUUCGUGAGUAAAAACCUCACUUCUUCGGAUGCAUAAGGACAUGGCAACAUUUCAGCACCAACAGCCUUUAUUCAAGACUAAUGCUCUCAACAAACCUGUCUCUUUAGGGCUCCCGUAUCUUAUACUUCAUGCAUUCUACAGGAGCUGAAUUCAGGAAAGCUAUACUACUGUAAUGAAAACUUUGAAGUCUAUUCAGAGAACUGGCUGACAAAUUUAAUUCUAAUUUAUACCAUGCUGACACUUGCAGGGCAAAAAUGCAGCUGGAAACCUACGGCAGCUCACUGAUUGAGGGGAGUUUCCAUUAAAAGCGGCAAAGCUCUGCCAGUGACCUGCCGUAACACCUUGGGCAAGUCACUUCUCCUCUCUCUGUCUGUUUCCCUCAUCCUCUCUUCUUGAAAAUAGGGAUGAAGAUACCUGCCUUCCUUUGCAGAGCACUCUGACGUCUGCGGAUGAAAAGAUCUAUAUAAGAGUUGAGUAUUAUUGUUAUCCCAUUUUUUAUGUUCAAUGAUAUUCCUUGGACCAUCUAUGAAAUUGCACACUUUCUAUUCUCCUCUUAUGGGCACUUGCAUCCUACUUAAAACCACUCAUGUAAUAGCCUUAAUUGUAGCCAUGAACCCUUUUCAUUGUAAAUACUGUGCAAUCACAUUCUUAUAUGCCUGCACUUAUGCUAAUCUCAGUCAUUUGAUUUCCCUGGGUGAUCCUGAAAGGAUAGUAGCUCUUUCUUACACAUUCAUUAAGGAAAUGACUUUUGUUGUAUAACGCUGGAAAAAACAAACUCUCUUUAUACAAUAAAAUCCUGACUAUGAAUCA